AUGGGAACGGGAACCGGGAAUGGGAACGGGCCAGAGAACGGAAAUGGGACAGGGCCGGGAACGGGACCCGAACCGGGAACAGGGCAGGGAACGGGGCCUGCACCGGGGCCCCAGCCCAGGCCCCCAUCCCGGUCCAGACCCCAAGGCCCACCCCAGACCCCCCGGUCUGGCACCAAAUCCAGCCCCGGAGCCCCGGGCCGGCCCCUCCCGGUGCCUUCACCCCGUUCUGCCGGGCGACCCCUCGGGCAGGAGCUGCAGGAGCCCCCUAAAGCCCCUCGGGAGCAGAAACCUUCAUCAUCACCAUCAUCAUCAUCAUCCCCCGGAGCCUCCCGGGACAGGGAACAGCAGCAUUCACAGAGGAUUUCCAGCCACCACAGGACGCUCGCAGGGAGGUCAGGGCUGCCCGGGAUGGGAUGAUCUGCCCCGGGUGCAGGAGAACUGCCCGUGCCACCUUCCAGCCUCUGCAGCCUUUCCCUGGAAGCUUUCCUCCUGCCACAGAGGCCAGAGCUGUGAUUCCCGUCGGGACACGGAGCACCCAAGGCUCUCCAGCAGAGCUGUGGGGUCCGGCUGCUCUGCCAGGGGGUUGGGAAUAAAAAUAAACAGUCUUGGUCCUUUCCUGCGUGUGGCACAGAGGCAACGCAGAGCCACGGUGGCCUCGGAUUUGGGGACGGACAAAUCCCGUUCCCAAAGCUCGGCACAAACUUGCAGCUCCUGCUUUUUACCGACACUCCUCUCUUUCGCCCAAGGCUUCUCCCUGCUGUGUGUCCUUCCCUGCCUUGUCCCUCUUGUCAGGCUGAGUGUGGCCAGGGAUGCUCUGUUCCGGGACAGAACAGCGCUGACACACCCAAGCCCAGCAGAUGGGUGACCCCUGCCCGCCCCCGAGGGGGCACCUCUGGGGUCCUCCCACCUGGAGGGGCCACUGGAGCAGAAAAUGUCACUGGAGUCUCCUGUCGAGGUGGCCUCUCCCCCCUCAAGCCAAAGCAACUCCCCUUGAGCACUCUGAUGGAAAAGGAACCACAGAAGCCUCCGAAAUAGAGGAAGCUGAGUAAAUCCAACACUUGAGAGCAAAGCCA